rnacentral:rRNA from 1 species
ACGGGAGGCAGCAGUGGGGAAUAUUGCACAAUGGGCGAAAGCCUGAUGCAGCCAUGCCGCGUGUAUGAAGAAGGCCUUCGGGUUGUAAAGUACUUUCAGUUGUGAGGAAGGGGGUAAGCUUAAUACGCUUAUCUCUUGACGUUAGCAACAGAAGAAGCACCGGCUAACUCCGUGCCAGCAGCCGCGGUAAUACGGAGGGUGCGAGCGUUAAUCGGAAUUACUGGGCGUAAAGCGCAUGCAGGUGGUUCAUUAAGUCAGAUGUGAAAGCCCGGGGCUCAACCUCGGAACUGCAUUUGAAACUGGUGAACUAGAGUACUGUAGAGGGGGGUAGAAUUUCAGGUGUAGCGGUGAAAUGCGUAGAGAUCUGAAGGAAUACCAGUGGCGAAGGCGGCCCCCUGGACAGAUACUGACACUCAGAUGCGAAAGCGUGGGGAGCAAACAGGAUUAGAUACCCUGGUAGUCCACGCCGUAAACGAUGUCUACUUGGAGGUUGUGGCCUUGAGCCGUGGCUUUCGGAGCUAACGCGUUAAGUAGACCGCCUGGGGAGUACGGUCGCAAGAUUAAAACUCAAAUGAAUUGACGGGGGCCCGCACAAGCGGUGGAGCAUGUGGUUUAAUUCGAUGCAACGCGAAGAACCUUACCUACUCUUGACAUCCAGAGAAGCCAGCGGAGACGCAGGUGUGCCUUCGGGAGCUCUGAGACAGGUGCUGCAUGGCUGUCGUCAGCUCGUGUUGUGAAAUGUUGGGUUAAGUCCCGCAACGAGCGCAACCCUUAUCCUUGUUUGCCAGCGAGUAAUGUCGGGAACUCCAGGGAGACUGCCGGUGAUAAACCGGAGGAAGGUGGGGACGACGU